CAUCUCACUUCUCAACAAAACUACUCUCUUUCGAACUCAAAGGCAAAUAAAACAUUCUCACCACAUUGGCCUUCAACAAUGAAUUCAAAUUCAUCAACAUUAUUUAUUUCUUCACUUUUUGAGCAAAAUAUCGCAAUUGAGGAGUCAAAAGCUCACAUCCUCUUAUUAUUUCCAACGCAAUAUUCUCGCUUGCCCAUGUCACUAAUAAUCACUGCCCUUUUCUUUACGUGCAUUGUCACCAAAUUUCUUCGCACAUUAUCACUUCAUGCAAACACCACAAAACAAAACUUCAAGAACCUUCCACCGGGACCUUCCUUUCUUACCAUGAUGCAAAACCUUGUUGAGUUUUGCAAUAAGCCACAACAAACACUAGCCAAGCUUGCUAAGCUUCAUGCCCCAGACAUAAUGCUUCUAAAGCUUGUUCAAUCAUCAACUACCAUAAUCAUAUCUUCCCCAAACAUUGCCAAAGAAGUCCUACAAACCAAUGAUCUGUUGUUCUCAGAUCGAACAGUUCCAACUAUUGUAACCGCUGUCGAUCACCACAAUUAUAGCUUGCCCUUCUUACCGGUUUGUCCACUUUGGAAAGAUCUAAGAAAAAUAUGCAAUGAACAAUUGUUCUCCACCAAGGUCCUCGACGCGAGUCAAGGCCUUAGGCGCAAGAAGCUUCUAGAUCUUCUUAACGAUAUGCAAAAAUACGGCCUAACCGGAGAAGCUGUUGAUGUUGGGAGAGCGGCUUUUAGGGCAUGCAUAAAUUUUUUGUCCUAUACUUUUGUGUCUGAGGAUUUUGUUGAAUCUGUGGAGAAUGAUAAAGAUGAGUACAAAGAUAUUGUUUCUACUCUCUUGAAACUAUCAGGAACAGCAAAUGUGGUUGAUGUUUUUCCGGUGUUGAAGGUGUUUGAUCCACAAGGACUUCAAAGGAACACUGCUAAUUACAUUACCAUGUUUUUUCAUAGACUAGACAAGUUGAUUGAUAAACGGUUGAAGCUAAGAGAAGAGGGGGAUAAUUAUGUCACAAACAAUGACAUGCUGGACACGCUUCUUGAUAUUUCUCAUCAGGAUAGUGAGAAGAUGGAUAGAGAAAAAAUCAAACAUUUUUUACUUGAUCUACUUGUUGCGGGAACAGACACCACUGCAUAUGGAUUAGAAAGAGCAAUGACUGAAUUACUUCAUAACCCAAAGGCCAUGUCAAAAGCCAAACAAGAAUUAGAACAAAUCAUUGGAAAGGGUAACCCCAUCGAGGAAUCCGAUGUUGCUAAACUGCCAUACUUAAAAGCCAUAAUAAAAGAGACACUGAGAUUGCAUCCACCAGCUCCACUUUUGCUCCCAAGAAAAGCAAAAGUUGAUGUUGAAAUCUCAGGUUACACAAUCCCAAAGGGUGCAAGAGUUCUAAUAAAUGCAUGGGCUAUUGGUAGAAACCCUAAUAUAUGGGAAGAUGCAAAUUUGUUCUUGCCUGAGAGGUUUUUGGGGUCUAAUAUUGAUGUUAAAGGAAGAGAUUUUCAACUCACACCGUUUGGUAGUGGGAGAAGAAUUUGUCCCGGUUCACCACUUGCUAUUAGAAUGAUGCAUGUGAUGUUGGGAUCAUUGGUCAAUUCUUUUGAUUGGAAACUUGAAAACAAUAUCAAGCAUGAGGAUAUGGACAUGGAUCAACCCCUCCGAGCUAUUCCAGUUGCACUAAAUAUAUAAUUAAUUAUUGUCUCUUUUUGUUGUUCUUCAAAAUUCCAAAGAUUUUUUUCUUUCGGUGACCAAAUUCCAAAGCUUUGAUUUGUUAGAAAAGGUAAAAAGCGAGAGAAUGAGUGGAGGAGAGAGUGGAAGCGGAGAGCGAGAGUGCAAAGGUGAAACACGAUGAGGAUGUUGGCUUCGCCGACGAAAGGGAUAAGGGGGAAGAGUGCGGGGGGUUGCCUCAGGUGUUUCGGAAGUGAGCAAAACUGGAGAAGGACGAACGAAACAGAGAAGUACCUCGUUCAACUAAGAUUUCUUUUCGGGACAAGGAAAGUCUUAGGCUUUCUUCUUCUAAUCUUCUUAACCUUUCACGAGGGAUCCUGCUCUAGUAGAUGAAAAGCUUGUUAAGGUCAUUGAAAAACAGGAAUAUGGGACUCCACUAAAAAUUAUUUUUUCUGAGGAGACGAAGGCAGCAUUUGUUCAGUCAUAUAAGGAUGUCAUUAUCAUUAAAAUCUUUGGAAAAUAUGAGUUACACUGCCAAAAAUCACAAAUUGAAAGGGGUUUGGGGAUUGAAAGGAGGAUAUGACAUGCAAGACGUCGAGUUUAAUUAUGGUCAAAUUUGAUCUUCCCAAAGAUAGGAAAAGGGAUCUCCUGAGUGGUCCGUGGAUGAUAGUGGAAUCGUAUGCUGUCAUGAAACCUUGGACGAUUGACUUCUGUCCUAAAAAAAAGACCUUUAGAUCUACGUUGGUGUCGGUGAGAAUCCAAAGUUUGAAUAUAUGGUACUACGAUGAGAAAGCAAUGAAGCUAGUGGCCUUUAUUUUAGGUGUUCCCUUAAGGGUUGAUCUUGCAAUUAAAACGGCAGAAAGAGGGAAGUGCGUAAGAGCGUGUGUCCAGAUUAUUAAUCUUGGAUUCCUAUUGUGAGGUCUA